rnacentral:rRNA from 1 species
GGGUGAGUAACACGUGAGCAACCUGCCUUUCAGAGUGGAAUAACGUUUGGAAACGAACGCUAAUACCGCAUAAUGUCAGAGGACGGCAUCGUCUUUUGACCAAAGAUUUAUCGCUGAAAGAUGGGCUCGCGGCCGAUUAGGUAGUUGGUGAGAUAAUAGCCCACCAAGCCGACGAUCGGUAGCCGGACUGAGAGGUUGAACGGCCACAUUGGGACUGAGACACGGCCCAGACUCCUACGGGAGGCAGCAGUGGGGGAUAUUGCACAAUGGGGGAAACCCUGAUGCAGCGACGCCGCGUGAGGGAAGACGGCCUUCGGGUUGUAAACCUCUGUCUUCGGGGACGAAUAAUGACGGUACCCGAGGAGGAAGCCACGGCUAACUACGUGCCAGCAGCCGCGGUAAUACGUAGGUGGCAAGCGUUGUCCGGAAUUACUGGGUGCAAAGGGAGCGUAGGCGGGGAGGCAAGUUGAAUGUCUAAACUAUCGGCUCAACUGAUAGUCGCGUUCAAAACUGCCACUCUUGAGUGCAGUAGAGGUAGGCGGAAUUCCUAGUGUAGCGGUGAAAUGCGUAGAUAUUAGGAGGAACACCAGUGGCGAAGGCGGCCUACUGGGCUGUAACUGACGCUGAGGCUCGAAAGCGUGGGUAGCAAACAGGAUUAGAUACCCUGGUAGUCCACGCCGUAAACGAUGAUUACUAGGUGUGGGGGGACU